GGGACCAGCCCAGAGUCAAGAGACUCUGGGAUCCCUUUCAGCUUACAUGUUUGGCCAGAAGAGGGGACUGUGUCCUCCUGUAGCAAUAGAGGGAACUGCGGCGCCAAGAACAUUCAAUCACCACCUAGGAGCACACUGCUGCUGAGGACGAAGGGAAGCAUCAGGCACUGUCAUCUACAGCCCUGGCUCAGGUCCCCAGGCCAGGACAGGGGUGGCUCCUGUCACAGCGUCUGUUCUGACAGUGAGAAACCGUGAGUCUGUCAUUGUGAGAGAAUGCGGAGGUAAACAGCUCCCCUAUCCAAACAUGAAGCUUUAGAGAGCAGUGAAGACCUGUGUGUCAAUAUGGCUAAUGGUUCAAAAUAUAUCACUCACUGCGGCUCUGUCCAUAGGACUCACCUGCAGGGGCCUUCUGUGUUGCUCAUGCCCAUGUGGGAGGAGUCCAGACUGCCGUACUGAGGGAGGAGUGGGGAGGAGUGCGUGCUGUGGGUGCUUGUCCCUAGACUCAGGGAAGGCCCAGCUUUGUUUUGUUUUGUUUUGUUUUGUUUUGUUUUGUUUUGCAAGACUAGGUUUUUCUGUGUAGCCCUGGCUGUCCUAGUUGAUCUGUUAGACCAGGUUGGCCUCGAGCUCACAGAAAUCCAUCUGCCUCUGCCUUCCAAGUGCAGGAUGGAAUUAAAGGUGUGUGCUACCACCUCCUCGAAAGGCCCAUCUUUUGUGGAACCUGAUGUAUGCUGGCUGUGUGCAGUGUCUUCUUUAACAAAAGAGGUGCUGGAUGCAAUGCUUCUAGAAGCCAUUGCUAAAGAAACUCGAGGGGCUUGCUUUGUAGUUGAUGAUAACAUUGUAACCAUGUGGGUAAUAUCUUGGGUUCACUUACCACACACCAGACGAUGGGGACACGUGACAACUUUUCUCAUCAUCUCACGGCCACCGUAUGAUGCAGACAUUGCUGUGAGUUGUACUUUAUGGCCUAGGAAGCAAAAAGUUCAGGGUGGUUAAAUCCUUGACUGAGGUCUCACAACUAAUGUAUUAAAGUCAGGAUUCAAGCCCCUGGAGCAAAAUGAAGUCUGUUCACUAGGGGUUAAGAUGUCUGUGGAUAGUGAUCUUUUCGUUGUAAUAAUUGCAUGCUAUUACUUUCUCUUUGGUGAAGAACUGGGGUUUAGGGAUAUAGCUCGAUGACAGAGCCCUUGCGUUAUAUGCAUAAGACCUUGGUUUGAUUCUAGUACCUUGUGGGCACACAUGUAUACAAAGACAUUAGAGAAAGCAAAGGCCUGGUGUUUCUAGCUAAACUAGUAGAAGGAUAACCUCAUUAGAAAGUAUUUACAUUUUUUUCCUUCUUACCACAGGGGUAUGUGCUCACAAUGAGAUAAUGGGAUGGACUGGUUUUUAUUGUCAACUCUUGACACACUCUGCAAUCACCUGGGAAGAGUCUCACUGAGGGAUUGUCUAGAUCACGUUAGCCUAUGGGCAUGUAUGUGGGGGGAUGGUCUUGCCUAUGAUAAUUGAGGAGGAAUGACCCAGCCCACUGUGGGUGGCUCCAUUCCCUGCGUUUGGCUGCUAGACUAUGAGUAGGAAACAUAUAGGCAUUCAUUUUGUACACGUUCAUCCCUCUGCUCUGUGAUAUGAACUGCUGAUACAAGUUCCUGCUGCGGUGCACUGUAACCUGGAACUGUGGGCCAAAAUAAACCGGUCCUCCCUCCCCUAAUUGCUUUUUAUUAGGAUGUUUUAGAGCAGCAACGGAAAUGAAGCUAGGACAGAUGUAGCGUUCCUUAGCUGUGGUUUUUUACAGUGAUUUGAUAAGUGGGCAGGAAUGAUCUGUGCUCGAGAGCAUGACGCUUCAGUCAGGAGUGGACAAGAACUAAGACUGCUGUCACCAGAGUUCGGGGCCUUCCCCAACAAGUGCCCUUGAAGUUCGCUGUGGGAUCUCUACCCUGCUGUCCCCUGAGGCAGAGAGGACUCUGAAUUCCAAGGGGGCAUAACUUCCCGUGGGUUUCCAAGUGGUCAUUUCUCCUACGUGUGGAACGAUGGAGCUCAUUUAACUGCCUGUUCCUUGAGACAGUCUGAACUAAAAUCCAUACCAAGAAAACACCAACAGCUUGCUGACUGCAGCUUGGUCGUGGUCCCCAAGAUUCCUGAGCAUAGCCUUGUUUACUUCCUCUGGGUCUCCAAGGCCAGGAGAGCAGCACUUGACCACACGGGAGCCUGUGUCCUGGCUGGUGGGGUCAGAAGAGGUGACUCUCAGUGAGGGUUAAUGUUUAUAAAUACUGAACGGUACCGGGUAUCAGUACUAAGGCAUCCUUGCCAGACGGGGUCAGUCCCGCUGGCGUGAGCUCUUGACUGUGUGCCGAGGGGCCCCUUCUGUCAUGUGGCUCACAGGAAGGGUGGUUGUUUUUUUGACUGUGUUUAUAAAGCCUCUGCUGACUGGGGAAACUGCAGAAGACAGCAGUGGCUUGCAGCGUUACUGACCAGUCAGAAACUGAGUCAUGCUGUGCGUCCUCUUUCGUCAGAACACCAAGGUUCACUUCUUUUUCUUCCAUCUCAGGCUGAGUGUGAGCAAGCCAGGGCUAGAAGAGCUUGCGCACAGCUCCCUUCGCUCUGGGUCUCACCAUGUAGCUCAGGUUGGCCCAAACCAAACCCAUCCUGUCUCAGCUUCCUAAGUGCUGACAUGGUAGGUGUGUGUCACCACACCCGGCGGUAUCAUGGAUGUUUUAUAGGCCCCUGUGUUGCCAUGGAAUUUUAAAGUUAGAACUCAGAGACUCUGGGACAUUGAACAAAUAAAACCCUCUGAUCUUCUGAUCUCCCUUCUGGGGCUGAAGGGAGGAGUGACCUCCUUCCUUUCAUCUCAUGCUGCCUCUCUGUUGAAUCAGCCAGGGGCAUCUGGGGAUAGAGUUAAAGCUCACAGACUCUGAGUUCCUGUGGUCCUGCCUGGGGUAGCUGUGUGGAGCCAACCCUGUCUGGAGCCCUGCAGAGCGGACCUUCUGGCCCUGUCCCUCCCCCAAGUUGUAGGGACUGCCUUUUGCCGCUUUUGCCUUUAGCUUUCUAUGAUAGCCCAGGCUGCCCAUCUUUAGCUGGUCCUCCUUCCUCAGACUUAAGUGCUGAAGCUGCCGGCGUGUACCACUCACUCCACUUGACUAUUUCCUUUAAAGGUACUGCUUCUGCCAUCUGGAGGCACCCCCAUUUCCUGACUCCUUGUACCCUCCAUGCUGGGGAAGGAAGGCAGCUCUCCAGGGGGUCUGUUUCAUAAGGGCACGGAUCUGUCUCUUAAGGGAGCUGCCUUGUGGCCUGAUGGCCUCUCUGAGGCCCAACCCUGGCGCGCCACACUCUAGGGACUAGUCUCCAGUAUAGGAACUUCAGACCUACACAGAUCCCAGUACUGUGGAGGGUUGCAGUACGGUAUAAGAGUGAGGGAGAGGCGUGGCUAAAGCAGAGGACCAGAAGCUGAUAGAUUAUGAGGGGGGCUCCGUGGGGAGGAGGGGGUUUGAAGAGAAGCAGAUGCAGAAGUGUGGGAGGGCAGGUCUCUGUGGAGGCUAGAGCCCUGCAGGCGGAUGAUGCAGAUGUUCCAUAUUUGUAGAUCUGCAACUGGGGACGAGGAGGGAUGAUGUGAAUGGGAGAGGAGCUGGAGCCCUCAUCUUCCUAUCCUCUGGUAACUCAGUUGCAGAAUUGCUUCUCUGCAGGUGUGGGAGGCGGUUAAUGAUUGAUAAAGAUCAAUGUUAGCCCGUCUGCAUGACCCGUUUCC
rnacentral:lncRNA from 1 species